rnacentral:rRNA from 1 species
GAUGAACGCUAGCGACAGGCCUAACACAUGCAAGUCGAGGGGCAACGGGGCGUAGCAAUACGCUGCCGGCGACCGGCGGAUGGGUGAGUAACGCGUAUGCAACCUGCCUUCAGCAGGGGGAUAGCCCGUUGAAAGACGGAUUAAUACCCCAUAACACAGGGGCUCCGCAUGGAGAUUAUUGUUAAAGGGAUGCUUCCUUCGGGGGUAUUCCGGCUGAAGAUGGGCAUGCGUUCCAUUAGGUAGUUGGUUGAGGUAACGGCUCACCAAGCCUACGAUGGAUAGGGGAACUGAGAGGUUGGUCCCCCACACUGGUACUGAGACACGGACCAGACUCCUACGGGAGGCAGCAGUGAGGAAUCUUGGUCAAUGGACGGAAGUCUGAACCAGCCAUGUCGCGUGAAGGAGGACGGCCCUAAGGGUUGUAAACUUCUUUUGCAGCGGAAUAAAGUAUUCCACGUGAUGGGAUAUUGCAAGUACGCUGCGAAUAAGGAUCGGCUAACUCCGUG